GACGAACGCUGGCGGCAGGCCUAACACAUGCAAGUCGAACGCGUGGCGGACGGGUGAGUAAUGUCUGGGAAACUGCCAGAUGGAGGGGGAUAACUACUGGAAACGGUAGCUAAUACCGCAUUUCCUCGGGUGUGCCCAGAUGGGAUUAGCUAGUAGGUGGGGUAAUGGCUCAUCUAGGCGACGACCCCUAGCUGGUCUGAGCGGAUGACCAGCCACACUGUAACUGAGACACGGUCCAGACUCCUACGGGAGGCAGCAGUGGGGAAUAUUGCACAAUGGGCGCAAGCCUGAUGCAGCCAUGCCGCGUGUAUGAAGAAGGCCUUCGGGUUGUAAAGUACUUUCAGCGGGGAGGCGUUACCCACAGAAGAAGCACCGGCUAACUCCGUGCCAGCAGCCGCGGUAAUAC
rnacentral:rRNA from 1 species